rnacentral:rRNA from 1 species
CCCGCACAAGCAGCGGAGCGUGUGGUUUAAUUCGUUGCUACACGAAGAACCUUACCUGGGUUUGACAUAAUGGUGGUAGGGAUCCGAAAGGUGACCGACCUUCGGGGAGCCAUUUACAGGUGUUGCAUGGCUGUCGUCAGCUCGUGUCGUGAGAUGUUCGGUUAAGUCCGCUAACGAGCGCAACCCUCGCUGUGUGUUAUAUGUGUCACACAGGACUGCUGGUAUUAAGCCGGAGGAAGGUGGGACGACGUCAAGUCAGCAUGACCUUUAUAUCCAGGGCUACACACACGCUACAAUGGUCAGUACAAUGGGUUGCCAAGCCGCGAGGCGGAGCCAAUCCUAAAAAGCUGGCCUCAGUUCAGAUUGCAGUCUGAAACUCGACUGCAUGAAGUCGGAGUUGCUAGUAAACGCAGGUCAGCUAUACUGCGUUGAAUACGUUCCCGGGGCUU